UGUUAUUUUGAGCUUUGAAUCUUUUAGCCU
rnacentral:piRNA from 1 species